rnacentral:misc_RNA from 1 species
CUUGCUUCACCUGUUGUGAGUUAUAUUGUCCUACACAAUAAUGAUAUAUAAUUCACAACAGGUGAAGCAAGUGCACUGACCACUGAGAAUAUUUUCAAACAUUAAUUUCAAAUAUGCAAAUGGAAAUCUAUAGCUUGAAUGUGACCAAGCAAAUAAUAAAGCUAGCACAUUUGAGGGCAUGUAACUGUUAGAUUUAGUACAAGAUAUUUUCAUCAAUCUCGAGAUUGCAUUGCACAGUGAUUGAAUUGACAAUACAAUGAGGAUUAAUAAUUCCAUAUGAAGUUCUAUAAUUUUUUUGUUCUUUUCAUAUAUAUGCAUUGAGGAUUUUUUUUUCAAAACAGGAAAAAUGGAAGGUCUAGGACCUAUUGAAUCCUAGAAAGCAGUUUUUCAUUUUCCAUUCCAGUUUUCAUUUUAG